AGAGGUUGGCUAAAUUUAUAGACAACAGCUGAGCAUGGUUGGAGUUGGGUUUUUGGAGCUGUUGGCUAAAUUUUUUUAUUUUAGGUAUGCCACCUCACUUUUUAGCUAAGGGCUUUAGAUGGUUGGAGAUGCUCUUACCACUACAGUUACGUUUCAAAAUUCAAAACAUUGUGCUCUAACCUCUCCCGCGUGCGCUGCGAUUAUUUCCGCCGUCUCGCCCUUUUCACGCAUCUUGGCAGCUGUUCUCCACCUUCUCCGAGGCUUGCUUUUAUUCAAAUUUGAAUCCCGCUAAGCUUGAUUCAAGGAUAUUUUGAAGAGUAUAGAUUUAUGAUUUGAAGCGCAGCUGUUAAAUCAAUUCUCCGAUUUUAUCUCUCUCUCGCAGGAGUUGGCAAUGGCUGAAAAGAUUGACCGCAUGGAACUUGCUUUUAAAUCCCGAGACAAGGCAGCUGGAUUUUUAUCACAUUCUAUAUGCUACUAUAUGAUUAUCUUUUAGAAAAUUGAUUGUGUAUAAGAUUUAUCAGCAAUUUAUCAGCAAUUCUGAAUAUACUAUAUACUAUAAAAUUAGUUCAUAUUUACUUUCUUUUUAUGUCUGAAAAUAUAGUAUGCAUUUUCUGUUGAUGCAGGGGAUUUUCUACUUGGUUGAAAUAUGUACUUGGUAUGGCAUUUAGAAGAGACAACGAGCCUUUUAAGGUACACAGAUUGUUGAAUAUUUUGUCAAUGCCGAUGAAUUGUGCACGAGGACUCGAGGAGGGAAUAUGCACGAUGGUUAGCACGGACAAACUUGCUACUGGAGAGGAAAAAUAAGCAUAAGGUUGUUCCAUCUAAUGCACUUUCCGGAUCUACAAUCUCUGCAUUUGACGACGUGAGUUUUGAAGACCCUGAUUUUCUGUACAUACAAUCUCUUGCUGAAGCUGGCAUUGUUUUAAGUAAGCUGUCUGUGGAUGAUUCCAGUUGGCAAAAAGGUGCAAAAAUUUUCCCAGAUAGAUUUAUAUCUCGCCAGGAUCCCAUAAGUUGGAAAGCCAAGCUAGAUUAUGAAGUCAUGCCAGGAUUAAGGGAAGAGUCCAGAUAUCAAGGAAGAGCUUGGGUUUUAUGGAUGUAAGGGAGAUCAAUUCAUGCAAUAGUUGUACUUUUCAAGGAAUUGCUUGCUGGUGACAAGAGCAUAUACAGAACAGUUUUUGGUCUCUCUCUCUGUCUCUGUGUCCUGGAAAAUGAUCUCCACAAUUCCAAGAAGAGGGCUUUCUUUCGACAAUUUCAUUACUCAAGUGCCUGAAUUCCAUGUUAGGACAUUUGCUGCGGAUCAUCAAAUUGUUGUGAUGAAUUUGGCAAUCAUUUAUUUGAAUUAGUCAGCUCCUCGGGGGAAUUCCCAUCAGUUUGAAACAGAGUACUGAAGAUAUUAGCUGUAGUGCUCUAUGCCGAGAAUGAAAAAGGAGUCUAAAGAGUUUGCCGAGAGCCUUUUGAUGCACUAACCUGAAGGAGGAACAUUACAGGAGAAUUGAUCAACAAAGCAGAGUUGAAAGAGUUCUGGGAACAAAUUUCUGAUCAAAGUUUUAAAUCCAGGCUUCGAACUUUCUUCGACAUGUGGGUAGGAAAAUAUGAUAUUUUAGUCCUCAUAUGCAGCAAGUUCAAAUUUAUUUUUGUCAAAAUAAAAUUAGUAGAUUAUCUAAUUCAUAAAAAUAAAUUAAUAUGCAACAAAUUAUAUAACUAAUUUAUUGAAUUUGGGCAUGUUUGUCUACUUCCUGUUUUCAAUUCCAAGCUUAUGUUUUUGGAGCUUUUGAGUUGCUGAGUAAAAUAGUGGAGGACUUUGAAUACCGGAGAAUUUGUCAGGCAGUUGAUCAAGGUAAUGAAAGCACUUUGAUUUCAGAAAAUGUAUCGUCUUUCUCAUAAAUUAUUUGCUUUGUCAGCUGCGAAAAGGCUCGGGUAUGAUACAACCGGUGGUAAGAGAGGCAGCUUUACUGUCUCCACUCAUAUUAAGAAUCAUUUCAAUUGGACAGGGUUUAAUGUAUGUCAAUAAUCCAGAUUGACUAGAUCCAUGUAUUAAACAAGAAAUUAAUCCACCAUCUUUGCAAGGUGAUUUGAAGUGGAGCUGAAGGAGGUCAAGUUGAGAGACGGCUAUUAUGUGAUGGACCCUGAAAAGGCUGCAGAAAUGGUUGAUGAGAACACCAUUUGUGUUGCAGCUAUUCUAGGAUUCACUCUUAAUGGAAAAUUUGAAGAUGUAAGCUCUUAAAUGACCUCUUGGUUAAGAAAAAUGCAGAAACUAGAUGGGAUACACCAAUUCAUGUGGACGCUCCUAGCGGUGGGUUCAUUGCCCCCUUUUUUUUUACCUGGAACUGUAAUGGGACUUCAGCUUUUCUUCACAACUUUGCCGUUGUCCACCUCAGUUGUCAACUUCUGUGUCACCUUACUUGGGAGUGUGUCAAGCUCCUCGAGCACCUGCUUGAUAUUUGUAACCAGGCGUUCAGCCAGAGUUCUUGAGAGUCCUCACGGAUAACUACACGAAGCACAGUAACAUGUUGGGCAUCAUGAGGCAUGGUGUAAGCUGGCACAAUCCAACCAUAACGCCUUAACAUGUUUGAGACUUUGAAUUCAUUGUGUAGGCUACGAUUUUUCGGAGAGAAUUCAUUGUAAUUUUUGGCACAGAUAUUGAUGGCUAAUUUCAAAUUUUUAAAACAACUCAUUUUUUAUUUUAUAAUGAAAAACAACUAAUAUUUGGGUCUUGCA